GGACACAGGCGCUUCGAGGCGGCCAGGGCGGCGGCUCAGCGCUGGGGUGCGUCCCCUCCCCGCCCGGCCCGCGGGCUUCGCCGCCUGUGUCUUCCCUGGGCCCCAGCCGUCCCGUGCGCGGUCUGGCCGCUGGAAGCCCGGAAGCUCUCGGAAGUUUUGAUUUGGAACCAGGAAAGGGUUUGAACUCUCUCAGAGUUGUGGGGAGAGGCCACGGUUUCCGGACGUGAAGAACGUCGAAGAAAUUGUUGUUGGCGGUUAUUAGGUUGUGGUUUUCACAUGCGGCCAGCCCAGGAGCUGAGAUUUUAAGAGAUUAUCCCUCCUCCCUUACUCCGCCAGACACUUAGAAGUUGGUAUCCAAAGUGCCCUCUCCUGCUGUCCUUAAGGAUUAAAAACCCAGCCUUAUGCUGGCACUUGGCCCUACCUCUGGGUGAGGGGAGAUGGGAAAGCCCUUGGGGCAGGUGAAACUCCAGAUGGGGGUAGGGGGCGCUAGGGAGGGUAAUCUCAUUAGAAUGUCUCUCUUGGCUCCUGGGGUUCCCUGAGUCGCUAAUUUAGGAGCUAAAAAGAACUCCAGAGAUUCUGUAAUAUCCCAUGAAAUGGUCCUCAGCCUCUCUUUGAAACGUGUCCAGUGACAGACCUCAAUUGUAGGUUUUCUGACAGGAUGUUGAUUUGGGUGGCUCCCUCUGCCCUGGAUACCCACCAGUUGUGAGAGGGCAUCAUAUCCCUUUGCAGCCCUGUGGAGAAUGCCUGGGUGGGAGUGUGCACCUGCCUCUUGGCCACACCACACCACACCACACCUUGGCCCGCUGUGCAUAACAGAAGCUGGGAAGGGGCCUGUGUGGCUAAAUCGAGGUUGGCUGGUUGGUUACUGAAAGGAGAGAAUUUACUUGUAAUUUCCUGGGUUUCCUUGGCUGUUUGUUUGGAGUGGAGAUCAUUUGGUCCCCGGGGAAUCUGGGAGGAAAAGGGAAGUCCUUGGAAAGGAGUUAGGUGCCCUCCCUGGGUAAGAAUGAGUUGGCUAACCUGCCCUCUGCACUAGGAAGCCUUAUUCCCUGAUAUGCAUCCCUUUUCUGGGUUUAACUUCCCGGAACACCCAGCAGUGGUGGGGAAUUGUAAUACAAAAAAAGAGCUAUGUGGUCCCACCUGUUCUUUUUACAGAUGAGGACGCUGACACCUAGUAAAAGAGCGUUCAGGGUCACAGAACCAGCUGGUGGCAGAGGUGGGACUCAGGUCUCCUGAUUCCCAGGCCUAUUCUCUCUCUCCUACCUCGUGUAUAAUAGGGGCCAGCACGAAACAGGUGGCACAUUAUGAAUGGGUAAUUUGAGGCAGGGUGUAGGGAAAGAACCGUGGAUAGUGAAAUGUUCUGGGGCUUGUAACAGAGGGAUCUUAGCAUCUCUACGCCUCGAGGCAGAGAGGCUGUGUGGAGGGUCAUUUUGCUAGAGCUAGGACUUCAGGUCAAGGGGUUCAAGAAGGCAGUUGGGAGGAAAUAAAACCCCUCUGAUUUGUCAAGGCUCUCCAUGUACUAAACCCCAUGGGAAGUCAGAGGGCAAAGGAGACUUGAUUAGUCCAUGCAGGAAAAUUCCAGAACACAGUACAGAUAGAAAAGGAUGCAGAAAGUACCUAGAGGAGCAAUGAAGGUAUCCAAUAUAACAUGUGACCUUACUUCUGUUCGUUUAUUAAUAGUUUAUACUUCUUGAGCACUUACUCUGCAUUGUGUGUGUCCAUUAUCUCAUUGCAUUUUCCCAUAAACCCAGUUUUCUCCAUUUGACAGAUAAGGGAACUGACAAGUGAAACAACUUGAGGAAUGGAGAUGUGAACAGCUAACGGGACACCUGCCUCUCCGGGAUCUUAUCUUGGGUAUAGUAGUUCCUUUGUAGAUGUUUGUGCAGUGGAUGACGGAGUGAAUGAAUGCGCAAAUGAACAAGGAGCAAACACACGUAGGAUUAGGUGGCAAAUCUCCCUGAAGACCCUUAGUGUGCCUUCCUCCAUGAGACUGGAACCUCUCUGCAGAGGUGAGUCCUGUGCCUGGCGGUAUCUCUGUUGCUGGCUUGUAAUGAGCCAGGUAUUCAGGUUAAAAGAUCAGGUGUCUAGAUGUGCAAAAAACCUUGGACUUCUGGGCUUUCCUAGUGGAAGUUUUUGGAAUUAAGCAGUUUUCUUUCUCGGUGCCAUCUUGAUCCAGUCCUGAUUUCUGAUGCCCCCACAAUCUGGGCAGGGGUCCAGCGUGCUGCCUCAUCUCUGCUCGGCUCCUACCCAUCGCUCCACCUACAAGCUCAGUUCUGCUCCUUGCAUCACUGGUGUCGAUCCUGGAACACGGCGUUCUUCAGGGAGAAACCACCUACCAGCAUGGUGGGGAGUUUUAGCAGCAUCCCUACGGUGGCCUGCCCUGGAGCAGAAAGCUCAGUGUGCAGGCUUUGUUUCCUUUCUCCGCAGUCCCUCUUCCCUCACCAUCUCCUCGCUUUAGAAUCCCCUUUUAUUGGCCUCUUCCUUCCUCGAGGGCCCCACACAGUCUUCCACUUGUUCACUGUCCAGGCUCUUCAAGCCAGGAAGAAGAACCUCACAUAGACUGAUCACUUGCCCUGCCUGCCACCGUGCCUCAUGUGUCCUCUCCAUCAUCUCAUUUCAUUUCUUAGUGACACACUAGGUAGGAAGUGUCAGGGAGCGGCCUUGCAGACGGGAAGACCUAGACUUCGGUUGGGUAACUUGUUCAAGAUCACACAGCUGUUGAGGGUAGAGCUGGCCUUUGACCUCUGGCCGGAUUCCAAGGCCAUCCUGGCCCACUUCUCGCCCCGAAUAAGUCCUGCUGCUGCAGUAUUUACGUUCAUGUUGACCUUUGCUGUUCGGAGCAUUUUCCCUGUGCCUUGGCCUGUGCCCCUGGGGCUUGGGCCUGUCGGAUGUGCUGUUUCAGCCUGCCCUGGUGGGUUUCCACACGGAGCUGCCUGACAUUUGAUUCCACCCACAGGCCUUUGCUGACAACACCUCCUCCAUAUGGAAGGCCAUUUGACGUGCUUCAGAGUGGCAAUAUCCAACCCGUUCUCUAAAGCCCAACUUCUGUGCCAUCUCCCGAACGAUGUCCCUCUAAACUCAUUCGCCUCCAGAUUCCCAGACUCACUUUGUGAACCUCCUCUGAAGGAUUUAGCACGUUAUUUCCUGCAUGUACAGUAACUCGCAUAUGGAACUUGCUUACGUGGUUGAGGGCAGGGACUGUACUGCAGUGGUGUUCGUAUCUCUCCAGCUCCUAACAGAGGAACUUACACAUGAGAAACUCUCAAGGCACCAGCUGUGAAGGCCAGCUGGGGAGAGCCUAGCCUGUCUGUGCUGAGUUCCCAUUUAGGCUCAAAGACUAGAUCCAACGUGGAAGAACAUGGUUUUUUGGCUUCCAAACCAGGUAACUCUGGGGACCCAUCCUUCCUGGAGAAACAGUUUGGGAGGCAGCAAGGUCAUUUUCCUUGACGAAAGUUGAUGCGUUCACAUACCCAUGAAGCGGCAUCAGACCACAAUCUUCUUAUCAGACCACAACAUUAGUAUUUGCCACUUUGGACAUCACAGGUACAGAGUCAAAGAGGACCAGCACCGCAAAUCCGUUGAAAAGGCCUGGACUGUUGUUACUGAGUUGGUAUUGCAAACUUGCCAUCCUGACUUGCAUGAAGUGACGUCUCACUGUGGUUUUGAUUUGUGUUUGCCUGAUGAUGAAUGAUGAUGAGCAUCUCUUCGUGUGGACCCUGGCUCUGACGUUCCCGCAGGGAUGGGGGCGGUGUGUCUGGGACCAGGAGGAGAGGCACCAAGACUUUGUCUUAGAAUAGACUUGGCAUGCAGAGGGGGUAACACAGAGGAGUGGAUGUUUCCUGACAACCUAGUUUGAUUACAUGGUGAAAGGACAGAAGAGAAGACCAAGUCCAGUGGUCUGAAAUGCGUGCCGCACUGGCUGCUGACAUAAGCAAGCACACUGCCUGCUGGUUCAAGGGGCUGCCCCGGGAGCUAAUUACAGACACGAGGCCGUGUGGCCGGCAGACCGCGGCUGGAUGUGAUUAGAGGGUUUUGGAGUGUUGCCAUCUGCUCACUUUCAUGGACACAGGGGAAGCAGCCAGGAUCCACGAGCAGACCGGCUGGCCCUGCUUUGAGCAUGUGUGUGUCAUCUCACCAAUGUUACUUGCCUCUGCUGGAGCUGUGCUGGACCAGGCUCCCGUCAUUUCACAACUGGGAUACAGAAGCAGCCUCCUGGCUGGUUUUCUUGCUUCUGCUCUGCGUUUUUUGUUUUUCAAAUUUUUUAGUAUUUAUUUAUUUUUGAGAGAGAGAGAGAGAGCACAAGUGGAAGA